rnacentral:rRNA from 1 species
UACGUAGGGGGCAAGCGUUGUCCGGAUUUAUUGGGCGUAAAGAGCGUGUAGGCGGCCUGAAAGGUCAGCUGUGAAAACUCGAGGCUCAACCUCGAGACGUCGGUUGAAACCAUCUGGCUAGAGUCCGGAAGAGGAGUGUGGAAUUCCCGGUGUAGCGGUGAAAUGCGUAGAUAUCGGAAGGAACACCAGUGGCGAAAGCGGCUUCCUGGUCCAGCACCGACGUUCAGGCACGAAAGCGUGGGGAGCAAACAGG